AGCUGGCAGGGAGCGGAGCCAGAGGCAGAAAAGGAGAGAAAAGUUUCCUGCAGUCUUCAUUAGUUGACUCCCCAGUCCCCAGCCACAGCUUCCCGGGGCUGCAGAAUUCACUCUCAAUAAAGAAAGGAGGUUUAAAAAAAAAAAAAAAAAAAAAAAAACUCCUGUGUUUACAAGACCAGAAAUGCCAGCGUUAAGUCCUUCCAGAGAGAAAGGCUGAAAUGGAGGACCGACGCCUUCCUUAUAAGCUCAUCAGAGCACGAUAGAAAAGCAACUGUAAAGGUAGAGAGAGUAAGAGCGGAAGGAAGGAAGUCAGCGCCAACAUAAACCAAAGGGAACCACCCAGAAAUGUAGGAAAAGGAGUUGGCAGAGGUCGGUCCCCAACAUUGGUAGAAGGACAGAAGACACUCAUGGAGAAAGGUUUAUGUUUUGUUUUGUUGUUUUUUAAAUUUCGACUUGGAGCUCAAUGAAGAAAAGGCAAAAUGUAGGCCAGUGGACCAGAGGACAGGAAAAGGACCAGUAAUAGCUCACAGUGUGCCUGGUCCAAAUGGAAGGAACUCCGGAAACCGAGUGGGCGCCAGGACAGGCACAGUCCUGAAGGCUGGGGGCUGGCCUCUUGAAACCCUCUUCACAGGCUGCCUGAGUUCUUUUGCUCUCCUUAUCAUCCCCAUCUUUAUGAGGAGGAGGUUUGUUAACAUGACCAGCGAUCUGACCACCACGCGCAUCUAUCUGCAUCUAUCUCCACCGCACACGAGUGCUCAGCCGAGCAGCGGCUGGUGGGGGGACUGAGAGGCACUAAUUAAUUGAUUCCUUGGACUGUAAAAUAUGGCCGCGUCUACACACACACACACACAUACACACACGGAACCUGUGGGCUCAUAAACAAUAUGUCUGCAGAUGUGAGUGUACUGUUUCUUAAAGAAUUUUUCUAUAGUUAUGCACCUAUUAGAAUCCGGGAUUUGAAAGACUCAAAUAAGAUUUCUUUUUCAUAAGCCACAACACAGUACAAUGUCAGAAAAUUCUGCAAAAACUUGGGUUAUGGAAUAGGUUUUCUCUGCUGCUAGUGUAGACACAGAGAUUGGCGUCUGACUGGCUAAGUGUUAGAGUCAAAAUCAAAGCCCAGCUGAGAAGGCCUGAGACCUCUGCCCUUCCUGGGAGCAGGGGAAUGGGCCCAGGUUCAGGUCUUACUUCAUGAUGUUGCCUAGGCUCAAGAUUAUAACUUUUUUUUAAAUUUACAAACCCUAACCUAAAGGAGCCUAACCCUAACCCUUACCUAGCUCUCCAGAUCACCAUCCACCCCUGAACUAUCUAUCUGCAUAGAGCAUUGCUAUAACACACGCUUUCAUUAGUCUUAGAAGAAUGUGUCUUGAGAUGCAUAAGUAAAUAGCUCUAGUAAUUCUAUAUAAGCACGAUUCCAUACUGAAUCUUGAUGCGCAUAGGAGUUAAUAUGUUCUCAACAGAUACCAGCUUCAGACAAUAGACACAACAGCGAACAAAAAGUGACCAUUUAUACAAUAAUGCUGUUGACAUACAUGGCUAUUUCAAAGACAGAAAAAGUAGGCAGAAAUACAAAUAGAAAAAAAAAUUAGCCAGUGGGGUUUGUCAUUACCAAUGUCAUCAUUGCUUUCUGGUCUUGGGUGACUCUCUUAAACCUGGCUGUGUUCCCUACAUUCAUCAUGGCAGAGAUGGUCUGCCUUCCCAGACCCUCAGCUCUGGUUCCAAUAUUUAUUUUUUUUAAAUCUCCAGAGAAAUGUAUAUCACAAAUAAUAUACGCAUCUAAAGAAUAUGCCCAUAUAAUUUACAGAUUUUUUUCAUAUACUGGGUCAAUAUGCACUUCGUAUGUAUGUAAGAAUGUGAUAUAAUUUUCACUGAGUUUUUUACUGCUGGAUUAAUAUUUGGGUGUAUUUCAUGCAAUGGUUCCACAUGCUACAGAAUGUACAUACACGUGACUAAAUGAACUCAGAAAAGCACACCCUUCAUGUAGGAUAUAUGAAUGCCUUGUUUACGAAUGCAAAUAAAUUCUUGCUUGUGAAUCU
ensembl:lincRNA Hotair HOX transcript antisense RNA (non-protein coding)